CCCGUCGAUGGUUUCAUGCGAAUGUUAUUGAAUAAGAUUUCCAACGAUAUAAAGAUUUCCAAAAACGAAUAAGUUUUGGAUAUAAUCGAGCACAUUCGAAACUAUAAAAUAGUGGCCGGGAUAUUUGGGAAUAGUAAAUGUGCAGGAAAAUUUCCUGCACACAAACUACUGAGGCUAGCCGAAUUUUUGGGUCAACUUCAAACGAUCAUAAUUCCCUUAAUAUAAUGAACUGGGAGAGCUGUGACCUAUGAAAAGAUGAUCUUUGAGUGUUCUUUCCAAUGUAAUUGUUUUCAUCCAAAUCCAACGUCUGAGUGAGGAGUUAUACUCGUUUUACUUCAGCCUAUCAAAAUAGAUUUUUAGGGUCAACUUCAAAUAACUAUAACUCCUUGUAUAGGAUGAACUGGGUUUCCUACUUUAUAUUAAAUGAAAGCCCUUUUAAUUAUCCUUCCAACGAUACCAAUUUCACCCAAAUCCGAUAUUAGAGCAAAGAGUUAUGGUCGAUCUACUUUAGCUUAUUAAAAUAGUCCACCAAAGGACAGAUUUGACAUUAUUUCAAUUUCAAAGGUAUUUUGGUCAUGUCCUAUUAUAUUAUGGACGGGAAUAUGUGUAUAUAUACAUGUAUAUGAGUUCAAAAACUCAUUUUCGUCAUCAAUCAUUGAGGAAGAACAAAUCCUAGCCAAAUUUGACCUUUAAAUUACUUUUGAUUCAACCGUAGAAAUUCCAAAGU
rnacentral:lncRNA from 1 species